rnacentral:rRNA from 1 species
CUUGAGUUACAAACAUAAGAGGUCCAGCCUGCCCAGUGAUUAAAUUUAACGGCCGCGGUAUCCUAACCGUGCGAAGGUAGCGUAAUCACUUGUUCUUUAAAUGAGGACUAGUAUGAAUGGCACCACGAAGGUUUUACUGUCUCCUUUUCCUAAUCAGUGAAACUAAUCUUCCCGUGAAGAAGCGGGAAUAAACGAAUAAGACGAGAAGACCCUAUGGAGCUUUAAACACAAUAACAAAUACUACUUUAAACAAAAAUUUCUUAAUGACUUACUCCCUGGUAUUAUGAUUAUUAGUUUUAGGUUGGGGUGACCGCGGAGAAAAACACAACCUCCACAUUGAAUGAUAAAACUCUAAGCAAAGAAUUACACUUCCACGCAUCAAUACAUUGACAUCAAUUGACCCAAUUAUUUUGAUCAACGAAC